rnacentral:rRNA from 1 species
AAUGAACGCUGGCGGCAUGCCUAACACAUGCAAGUCGAACGAAGGCUUCGGCCUUAGUGGCGCACGGGUGCGUAACGCGUGGGAGUCUGCCCUCAGGUUCGGAAUAACAGCGAGAAAUUGCUGCUAAUACCGGAUGAUAUCGCGAGAUCAAAGAUUUAUCGCCUGAGGAUGAGCCCGCGUAGGAUUAGCUAGUUGGUGUGGUAAAGGCGCACCAAGGCGACGAUCCUUAGCUGGUCUGAGAGGAUGAUCAGCCACACUGGGACUGAGACACGGCCCAGACUCCUACGGGAGGCAGCAGUGGGGAAUAUUGGACAAUGGGCGAAAGCCUGAUCCAGCAAUGCCGCGUGAGUGAUGGAGGCCUUAGGGUUGUAAAGCUCUUUUACCCGGGAUGAUAAUGACAGUACCGGGAGAAUAAGCUCCGGCUAACUCCGUGCCAGCCGCCGCAGUAA